rnacentral:rRNA from 1 species
AACGCACCUUGCACCUUCUGGUAUUCCGGAAGGUACACCUGUUUUGAGUGUCAUUAAAUUCUCAACCAUUCAGCUUUUUCGGAGGCUUGUCUGGCUUGGAUGUGAGGGUUGCGGGCUGCUUCACGGCGGUCGGCUCCCUUUAAAUACAUUUGCUGGGGAAUAGUACAUGGUUCAAGUGCUUCGAUGCUUGAAGGUCUCCUGGUGUGAUAAUUAUCUACGCCGUUGACUUAGUCGUUGCUUGUAUUGGCCGUAGAAUUUCUCUGCUUCUAACUGUCUCGCAAGGGACUAGUCCGCUCUAGGGCUAUAAUGACUAUUGUGACCUCAAAUCAGGUGGGACUACCCGCUGAACUUAA